rnacentral:lncRNA from 1 species
GGCACUGAAAAAGAUCCCAGCUUCAUUUCUGUAUUAUCUUCAUAAGGCAGACAGGGAGAUACCCUCUUGCCAUUUCCUUUAGAUUAGUAAAAAGAGCCCUCUGAAUCCGAGGGUUUCUGCCCAAGUGAACAAUGGACCACCCUAAAAAGGAGGGAAACGAAGGUCUUUGGAGUUAUAUCAAAAUAGAACUGACUAAAAUUAAAAUUCCAAGGCAAACAGUUUUGCUAUCAAACAAGUUGUCAUAAAUGUUUCAUCACUGACUUUCCCAAAGCUCUGGCAUUAAACAUUAAUACACAAACAACUGAAAUGUGCCCACUUUUAGCAUGGGCUCUAGUCUUCCUCUUUCCUCCUCCAAUCAGGAAUAAAUAAAAGGCAGCAUCAGGUUUUGCGUUAGUGUUUGUCAAAUGCUUUGAAGUAUGUGAUAAUGCCGUAAUAACGCCAUGGGUGGCAAUGGUAUUCUUUUGCCCAUUAUGCAGAUGAAGUUAGUUGGAGAAAAAAACUCUGCGUGUCAUUUGAUAACCUCCCUGGCUGAGGAGAAGAGUUUGAGAGGGAAAGGCAUAGAAUAAGAAAAGAGGAAACUUAAUUCCCCAAUUAAUCUCACUCUGCCUCUGACAUAAUUCUGGAUGGCAUCGAAUAUUAAAAAUUGGCAUGCUCCACAUUUAUAUUCUUCCGCUCCAUGUUGCCUCCUAUCCAUCUCUGUCAGAUUUUCUCUGCAGAACAGGAAUAGAACUCCCCCCAAGGACUUGUGGAGAGAGAGGAAAAGAGUAGGAGUCCUUCCUAAACUUUCCAAUACUUGAUUCAGUUUUCACCUGAAGUUCAAAACCAUUCCAGCUGAGGUGGUCUGAAGAGAUUAAAGGUGUUCUCACAGUGAUGGUUUAAACAGGCCCACACUCCUUGACAUUCCCUUUCAAACCUGGAGCCUAAUUCCCAUUGCCUUAACUGUGAGCUGGAUGUAUGGACUCACUUCUAACUAAUAAAAUAUGGCAGAAAUGGCCGUGUGAAACUUCUGAAACUAAGCCAUAAAAGGCAUCAUGGUUUCCUCCUUGCUCUUUCUUGGAUCGCUCAAUCUUAGGAAAGCCACGGGCUGUUGUGAGGGUUAAAUGAAAUAAUACAUGUAAUACAUUUACCAUAAUACUGCCCAUAAAAUAAGCAUAGAAUACGUUACAUCUCUAUAGAAUGUAUAGAAUAUAUCAGAGUCACAGAUCAACUUAAGUAAGCUAGACCAAGAGAACAUAAACCCUAGGAAUUAAGAAAGACUUUACAAAAAAAAAGAAGAAAAAAAUUCUUAAGGCAGUCCUCAUAUUUACCUUUCCCCUGGCACCUCUCUCCAACCUAUAUUUCACCUUUGGUCUUGAGAAGGGAAAACGUUGCCUCAGGAAGCCCCACAGUUACAAUUGUCAACAUUUCUGUAUAACAGGAUGUUCUCCUACCUCUAACUGAUGACCUACUUACGAGGACUAAGAUUCCAAAUAAAGUAAAUACUGGCAUCAAAUUCCCACCCAACAAAAGAAUCAGAAUUAGAUAUGACUUGUGCAUGCAUGCGUUUGUGUGUGUGUGUGUGUGUGUGUUACCCCUAGCAUGCACACAUACAGGAAUACACGUUCAUGGAACACACUGCCUCACAGAACUCCCUUUAAUCAGUCUUGGUAUCACCAUGGUAACGUGAACAGAAGCAGUACUCCUAAUCAUGGAGGGAAAACCUGCAGCUUUGUGAUACACACCCCUGGGGAGAAUUUCAGCCACCAUGUGUACCACAGCAGCACAGGAUGCUCAGAAUAAUCUCAUGGGUUCUGUUUAUCUUUGGCUGCUUCUAAUCUUCCUCCUAUCUGCUGUUUCAAUCAGCCUUCCCUCAGGAUCACAGAGCUCCAGUUCUCAUCCCUGUCCUUGCUGCUGAAAAAUGCUUCCCCGCAAGCUUCCUUUGGCUAUUGUGAGAGGGAGCUUUCCCUCUAGUGCAGAAAUAAACAAUUCUGCCCUACCUUAAAGUUAUUUGAAAUUAUAUAUUAUUUGAAAAAUAAUAAUAAAAACCAGGCUUCAAAAUGCCAGCAUCAUCUAUUUCCCAGGUUACUUAUGUAAGCAUGCAUGAAAAUGACACAUCUGUGACCUACAGAUUCAAAAUUCCAAGGCAGAGG